GAAUAUUUGUCCUCCAUUGCAAUUAAGUUUUCACUUGCUCUCUGCACUUUCUUUCUUUCUUUCUUUCUUUCUUCAUUCAUUCUCUAUGUAAACUUCCUGCUCAUGUUUUCUUAUUAAAUGGAAAUUUGGCCCCUGAAGUGAAAAUUAUCUUCGCACUAUGUGUUUAUCCAUUAGAGGGUGUGCUGACCAAAUUUCUUUUUUGUAAAGAUGGGGCUCUUAUUUCAUCCAGAAAGCAAUAUCCCAAAAUGCUCAAUAAAUAGUCUAUUCAUUGUAAUGAGUGCUGGCCAAUAUUCAGAGUUGCUGUAUCCUAAGAUUCUCAUUCUAUUGGAAACGACAUAGGAUUGGCUCAUAAGAUCUUUUUGCUCAUCUAACUAUUAAUCUUCUAUACUUUAAAAAAAAUUAAAUUGAGAGUUUACAACUCCAGAUUUCUAAAUAAAAAUGGAGGUGGCAUUAAAAUGCUUUAAAUAAAUAAAACAGAAUAGAACAUUGCAUGCUACUUUCCCCAAAAAGAAAUAAUUGAAGGCAGUAUACCACAAACAAUUGGGGGGGGGACUGCUUUAAAAGCAAUACAGUAAGACAAAAAUAAAGGUGAUAGAGCAAUUUAAUUCCACUCAAAUGUUCACUCUCUAUAGCAACUACAUUUUCACUUACUCUCUGCAUUCCUUUAUGCUCUUUCUUUAUUUCUUCCAUUCGUUUGUUCUGUAGGUGAACUUCCUGCUCCUGAUUUAUUCUUGAAUGCAACUUUGGUUCAUGAAGGGGACAUUAUCAUAGCACUAUGUGUGGCUCCAUCAGAGGUUGUGCCGACCAGAUUUUUUUUAUGUAAAGAUGGGGCUCCUAUUUCAUUCAAAAAAGCAACAUCUCAAAAUGCUCAAUACAUAUUCUAUGCAUCACUGAAGAAUGCUGGCCAAUAUUCCUGUGGUUACCAGCAGAAGGAUGCAAAGAACCAAGUGAAGACAUCUGCCCUCAGUGUUGCUCAGAAUCUGAUUGUCCAGUCAGGUAAGGUAAUACCUCCCUAUAUUUGGAUUCUCCGCUCCUCAUUGGUGCUUCUUCUCCUGGUCUCAGCGCCAAUCAUCACCUAUUUCAUGGAGGAGUAUAAUUGCUCCUUGGCUGGAACUAGAAACUAGGAAAUCCCAUUGGAAGAAAGAAAAAAAUGCCUCCAGACUGUUCUUUGUCCUCCUUCUCUCAUCCAUUUAUUCACUUACAAUAAUGUUUCCAGUAUUUUACUAAGCCCAGUUCAAGUACUGGUUUUGACCUUUAAGGUUCCAAAAAAGGGCUUGGGUUCAUGAUGUCUGGUUAGCUUGCCAGAAGUUUUUACAGCAGGUACUGAAAGCAAUACAGCAAAGGUUUCUGCAUAGUAUUAAUGGAAAUCUUCAGUGUAUAGCCUUUUAUCUACUGGGAUUUAUAUUAUUUUCUGCUUAUUUUAACAUGCCUAUGUUUUAAAAUAUUAUCUGUAUUACUGCCAAAUAAAUUGUUGAACUAUUGCGUUGC
rnacentral:lncRNA from 1 species